rnacentral:sRNA from 1 species
UGAUCAAGAAUAAAUGAUGUCGUUACAGA